GUUUCUCUUCUAGCGCCAUGUACCUGUGAGGACGACCAUACACAGGUUAACGAGGAAAAGGGUUAUCGAAAAUUCGGCGGACGCCCUUUCGUACCUCCCAGUGCGAGAUAUGCCGGCAAAUAUGCAGGUGACUGCAAAACAAAUACGGUAUAAUGGGACAAU
rnacentral:ncRNA from 2 species